UUGUUCUUUUUGUUUUACAAAGACCAUGAAGUGACUUUAUAACCUAUAUUUAUCUUAGUGUGGACAGUUAUUGAAUCUAAGUCCAAUAUUCACUUUGUAACUUUGUUUUGGUCUCCAUCAGCUCCCCUGAGGGAAAUAGCUAGCUAGCUAGCUUUUUAGUUGCUAAAUGCUACAUUAUAUUCGCUAAUGUUAGCUAGUUGUUAACGUCCGCUGUUCAGCGCCGGGGCGGCUAACGGUUAGCUAACAACCUGGAUUGACCAGAGCUCCCUCACUGAAAACGGCUAACUAACUCCCAGUCUGUUGGAAUCUGACGACUCAUCUCACUGUCCAGCUGCUUCUUGGCACUGUCUAAUGAUUCGACUGCAGCCUUAGCUGAGAGCAGUCCUAGUGAGAGAGAGGAUUUGUCUGGAAACCAGCCUGUGUUGACACUUAAAGCUACCAUUGCUUAGCUCAUCAACG